rnacentral:rRNA from 1 species
AGAGGAAGUAAAAGUCGUAACAAGGUCUCCGUUGGUGAACCAGCGGAGGGAUCAUUACCGAGUUUACAACUCCCAAACCCCUGUGAACAUACCUUAAUGUUGCCUCGGCGGAUCAGCCCGCGCCCCGUAAAACGGGACGGCCCGCCAGAGGACCCAAACUCUAAUGUUUCUUAUUGUAACUUCUGAGUAAAACAAACAAAUAAAUCAAAACUUUCAACAACGGAUCUCUUGGUUCUGGCAUCGAUGAAGAACGCAGCAAAAUGCGAUAAGUAAUGUGAAUUGCAGAAUUCAGUGAAUCAUCGAAUCUUUGAACGCACAUUGCGCCCGCUGGUAUUCCGGCGGGCAUGCCUGUUCGAGCGUCAUUUCAACCCUCAAGCCCCCGGGUUUGGUGUUGGGGAUCGGCUCUGCCUUCUGGCGGUGCCGCCCCCGAAAUACAUUGGCGGUCUCGCUGCAGCCUCCAUUGCGUAGUAGCUAACACCUCGCAACUGGAACGCGGCGCGGCCAUGCCGUAAAACCCCAACUUCUGAAUGUUGACCUCGGAUCAGGUAGGAAUACCCGCUGAACUUAAGCAUAUCA